rnacentral:sRNA from 1 species
AAGAAGGGGAGGAGAAGGGGACGCCACAUCCCAGGGCUGCGGGAGCCCCAGAGAAAAGCCAGCCAGGAGCUGUGGGAGGAACCGCCCUCAGUAAAGAUGACCGCAGUCACUGUUAUCUAAACGCAAGUAAAGCCGAGUCACAGGACCCGGAUGUUGUCAGUUCGACGGUAAACGACCCUGCCAGCUUCCAAGAGGGCGGCUUCACUGUGCGAAUAGGUGAGAAGCCAAGAAGGAGGCGCGCUGGAGUUACUUCCGCCCGGUUCUCCUUCCCGCGGUCUGCAGCCGGAGUAAGAUGGCGGCGCUGAGGGCUUUGUGCGGCUUCCGGGGCGUCGCGGCCCAGGUGCUGCGGCCUGGGGCUGGAGUCCGAUUGCCGAUUCAGCCCAGCAGAGGUGUUCGGCAGUGGCAGCCAGAUGUGGAAUGGGCACAGCAGUUUGGGGGAGCUGUUAUGUACCCAAGCAAAGAAACAGCCCACUGGAAGCCUCCACCUUGGAAUGAUGUGGACCCUCCAAAGGACACAAUUGUGAAGAACAUGACCCUGAACUUUGGGCCCCAACACCCAGCAGCGCAUGGUGUCCUGCGACUAGUGAUGGAAUUGAGUGGGGAGAUGGUGCGGAAGUGUGAUCCUCACAUCGGGCUCCUGCACCGAGGCACUGAGAAGCUCAUUGAAUACAAGACCUAUCU